GGAAAUAAAAGUCGUAACAAGGUUUCCGUAGGUGAACCUGCGGAAGGAUCAUUCAUAAUAAGUGUUUUAUGGCACUUUUUUAAAUCCAUAUCCACCUUGUGUGCAAUGUCAGGGUUGAUUUUUCUCUCGAGAGGAUCAACCCCAAACAUCAACUAUAUCUCAACUCUUUGUCUGAAAAAUAUUAUGAAUAAAACAAUUCAAAAUACAACUUUCAACAACGGAUCUCUUGGCUCUC
rnacentral:misc_RNA from 1 species